AGAGUUUGAUCCUGGCUCAGAACGAACGUUGGCGGCGUGGAUUAGGCAUGCAAGUCGGGGGUGCCAGCAAUGGCAAUCGGCGUAAGGGGCAGUAAGGCAUGGGUACCUACCUCGGGGUUCGGGAUAGCCAUCAGAGAUGGUGGGUAAUACCGGAUGACCUCGCGAGAGCAAAGAUUUAUCGCCCGGAGAGGGGCCCAUGUGAUAUUACCUAGUUGGCGGGGUAACGGCCCACCAAGGGGAAGAUGUCUAGCGGGUGUGAGAGCACGACCCGCGCCACUCGCACUGAGACACUGGCGAGACACCUACGGGUGGCUGCAGUCGAGGAUCUUCGGCAAUGGGGGCAACCCUGACCGAGCGACGCCGCGUGUGCGACGAAGGCCUUCGGGUUGUAAAGCACUGUCGAGGGGGAGAAAAGCCGAAAGGUGUGAUCUAUCCCUGGAGGAAGCUCGGGCUAAGUUCGUGCCAGCAGCCGCGGUAAGACGAACCGAGCGAACGUUGUUCGGAAUAACUGGGCUUAAAGGGCGCGUAGGCGGGCCGCCAAGUCCGAGGUGAAAUCCUCCGGCUCAACCGGAGAACUGCCUCGGAUACUGGAGGUCUCGAGGGUGGUAGGGGCACGCGGAACUAACGGUGGAGCGGUGAAAUGCGUUGAUAUCGUUAGGAACUCCGGUGGCGAAGGCGGCGUGCUGGACCACAUCUGACGCUGAGGCGCGAAAGCCAGGGGAGCAAACGGGAUUAGAUACCCCGGUAGUCCUGGCCCUAAACGAUGGGUACUAUGUAGUAGACUUGACAUGGGUUUACUGCCGGAGCUAAAGUGCUAAGUACCCCGCCUGGGGAGUAUGGUCGCAAGGCUGAAACUCAAAGGAAUUGACGGGGGCUCACACAAGCGGUGGAGCAUGUGGCUUAAUUCGAGGCUACGCGAAGAACCUUAUCCUAGGCUUGACAUGUGCGAAAGCGCCAGCAGGUAGGACCCGGAAACGGGGACGAACGGUAUCCAACCCGGAAGCUGGUACAGGUGCUGCAUGACUGUCGUCAGCUCGUGUCGUGAGAUGUCGGGUUAAGUCCCAUAACGAGCGAAACCCUUACCCUUAGUUGCAACCGCAAGGGCACUCUAGGGGGACUGCCGGUGUCAAACCGGAGGAAGGCGGGGAUGACGUCAAGUCCUCAUGGCCUUUAUGCCUAGGGCUGCACACGUGCUACAAUGGCGUGAACAGAGUGACGCGAGCCCGCGAGGGUAAGCCAAUCACAAAAAACACGCCCCAGUUCAGAUCGGAGGCUGCAACUCGCCUCCGUGAAGCCGGAAUCGCUAGUAAUCGCGGGUCAGCAACACCGCGGUGAAUGUGUUCCUGAGCCUUGUACACACCGCCCGUCAAGCCACGAAAGAGAGGAGCGGACGAAGUCGCCUCACGGUGCCGAAUCCGAUACUCUUGAUUGGGACUAAGUCGUAACAAGGUAACC
rnacentral:rRNA from 1 species